GACAAGGAGGAGCAACCCAAAGCAUGUCAGCCUACAUCCAGCCAUCUGAGAGAGGGGAGACAACAAGUGGAUGCUGAGGGGGAAUCAUCCACACAUCUUGUGACAAUCCGUAGGGAUAACUCUAUCCUAUCAGCCUCUGCAAACAUGCACAGCAUCACAGUGAAGAGAUGUUAGGAUGCAACAUGAGGUGUGUGUGGGAGUGCUUUUUGCUGUAUUCAUAAGUAUUUUAAUUAUGGUACGUAGGUUGUAGUUUGCGGAUGCAAAAGCCAAAGGGGGGCACGUGAAGGGGUCGAAGAGGGGCAGUGACAGUAGCAGCUCCUCCUGAUCACAUGCAGCCGGUCACGGGCGGGAGUAUACUGCUUUGUCCACUAUGGGAGGCAACUGCCAGAUAGAGAAGAGGAGCAAAACAAGAGGGAGAAGGGGCCCCUGCCUUAAUGUUACCUAUCAUUCCUCCAACCAUGGUACCACCAAAGUCUGAUUCACUGCGCUACAAAUUCCAUUUAAGACCGGAGGAGAUGAUGCUGACCGCCAUGAAUGCACAUGAUUUGGAGCCGUCUUCUGGUGCUGUGGAGCUCGUGAAUUCUGCUGGUCUCGUGAAUCUGCAUGCAUUAAAGUAAGUCUUUCAAGGUUUGUUUAUGCUGCAACUUCCCCCCAUGUCUCUAUUUGUUGGCUUUUCUCUUCCUUCGAUAUCUGUUCAAGGGUGAUAACAACAGUAGAAAAUGCAAACUGGAGCAGAGUGGCUUUUGGUGCAACUCGAACUCAAGGAGAGCAAACUUAUAUAGAAUUCAUCAGGCUUUACUAAAACCAAGACACUUUAUUGUACAUUUGCUGCAACUUGAACCAUCUAAACUGCAUUUU